AUUAUAUACCAAUCUAUCCUAUAAUAAAAGGGAUAUAUAAUCCACAGGAAAGGUGUCCACGUCACUUUAAAAAUCAACCAAUAAUGAAGUUUCAUUUUGCCACGUCAGUCUGCUGUUAGUCAACACAAAAUUUUCGCAGGCCAACUUAGUUAUGGGCUUCUGAUUUUCUGUGUUGUCGUGGCUCAUCAUUAUAACCCAAAAUACAUAUCAUUAUUAUUCAAAAUACGGGCAAAAUUAAUUAAUCACAGCCACCGUUUACAACCUUUUCAGAUUUCUCUACUGUAAAGAUUCUGAUUUAAUUGACAUAAAGUUUACCUAGCCAUCUGUUACCUCUUCUUCAUCUUCUGCCGUUUAGAGUAUGCUCAAACUUCUACAUGUCAAUCCAUUUUCCAACUUCUCUUUGAUACAUAUAUAUAUAUAGACUCCAAAUCCUUGAACCAUCGCUAUGGUGGCCCUAAAACGCUCCAAAUCGUCGAUCUCUGACUGUUUACUUCGACAAAGUCGCCGCCUGUCAAGUUGAUUCACUUUUGAGAAGCCCAUAUCCCGCUAAAGUCGGGAUGCUAAUCGGCCUUCACCUGCUUCUGAUCGAAGAAUAGGUAUGACCUAAUCUUCUCAAACCCCUCAAUUUGAUAGUGCCAGUUUAUGUAACCUAACAUAUAUCACACAUCCACAUGGCUCCAUUGUUCUGAAGCCGCUAUGAAGAUUUUCUGAAGCGUGUCUCCUCCUACAGUUCUUUAGGGAAUCCACACAUUGCUUUUGAACCAGUCAAUCGGAAUCGAAAUGGGUGUUUCAGAAAUGCAUUUGGAGUAACGGCGAGUGCGGCGUCUUCUUCGUUAGUCUCUACGAUCUGCGCGACGGCGAGAAGAGAUUGCUGACGUUUCGGCUGAACACCGGGGCGUGCGAUCGGAUUUCGGCGGUUACGCUUCAGAGAGAGUUUAUGAGAGAGACGACGGUUGCGGAUGGAUGUUGCGACGAACACGUGGCGAAGGAUGUGGGGUUAGGUAAGGCGAUAGAGGAGAUGAUUCCGAGUGGGGAAGGGGAUAAACUGUUUUGGGCGCAUUGGAUGGACGUGCUGGGUUACUCGCUGAAUGCAUUCCGGUUCUCGAAUUUGAGUUUCGUGGAUGGACGCUGAAGACCCGAACCGGAGAUCUCAGGUGGUAAGGAUGAAACUGGAAAAAGAUCAGACUCUUAAACUUGUGGCUGUAAGUGUCUCUCCUUAUUCCAGCAACUUCUAUAGUUGUGUGCGCAGAUUUGCUUACCAUUAUUGCUUAUUAAGCUAGAUUAUAUACUUUACUAUUAAUUUAUUUAAAUAUUUAAUAUUAUAUUGAAAUGAUAAUCUUUUCUGAUAGAUAGUGGUUAUAUAUGAACACUUAUCUCUGCAAUCAAACAGUGUUAUCUAAAUUGUUUGUUAAAUGAUGAAUGGACAAAAUAAGUCCCAAGGCGUUUUCAUAUUUGAUGACAAGGGGUCCGGCUACAGAAGUAAGCUUCAGCUUAGGAACUAAGGAAACCAAAGUUGUGUUUUGUAAUUAUACUAUGUUUUUGGAAUUAUGUUCAUUGGCGUAAGUUGCCGUUAGUCGGUAAGAUUGUACUUGCUUUUUAACCUUUUCCUUAGUGAUUUUCAAAAUUGGUAAAGACCUAUUUAAGUU